rnacentral:rRNA from 1 species
CCUACGGUGGGCAGCAGUGAGGAAUAUUGGUCAAUGGUCGGGAGACUGAACCAGCCAAGCCGCGUGAGGGAUGAAGGUACAGAGUAUCGUAAACCUCUUUUGUCAGGGAAUAAAGGCGGGGACGCGUCCCCGGAUGAGUGUACCUGACGAAAAAGCAUCGGCUAACUACGUGCCAGCAGCCGCGGUAAUACGUAGGGGGCAAGCGUUAUCCGGAUUUACUGGGUGUAAAGGGGGCGCAGACGGCAAUGCAAGCCAGGAUGGAAAGCCCGGGGCCCAACCCCGGGACUGCGCUUGGAACUGGAUGGCUGGAGUACAGGAGGGGCAGGCGGAAUUCCUAGUGUAGCGGUGAAAUGCGGAGAUAUUAGGAGGAACACCGGUGGCGAAGGCGGCCUGCUGGACUGUGACUGACGUUGAGGCCCGAAGGCGUGGGGAGCAAACAGGAUUAGAUACCCGGGUAGUC